rnacentral:rRNA from 1 species
GACGAACGCUGGCGGCGUGCUUAACACAUGCAAGUCGAACGGGCCUUGUCCCCUUUUUUUUUGGGGGUGGGUUUAGUGGCGAACGGGUGAGUAACACGUGAGUAACCUGCCCCUCACUUCUGGAUAACGGCUUGAAAGGUUGUCUAAUACGGGGGUUUCUGGCCUGCUCGCAUUGGUGGGUUUGGGAAGUUUCGCCCGUAUUUGGUUGUUUUGGGUGGGGAUGGGCUCGCGGCCUAUCAGCUUGUUGGUGGGGUGAUGGCCUGCCAAGGCUUUGACGGGGAGCCGGGCUGAGAGGGUGGGCGGUCACACUGGGACUGAGACACGGCCAAGACUCCUACGGGAGGCAGGAGUGGGGAAUAUUGCACAAUGGGCGCAAGCAUGAUGCAGCGACGCCGCGUGAGGGAUGGAGGCCGUCGGGUUGUGAACCUCUUUCGCAAGUGAAGAAGGUCCUGCUCUUUGUGGUGGGGUUGACGGUAGCUGGGUUAAUGAAGCGCCGGCUAACUACGUG